rnacentral:rRNA from 1 species
UCCCCCAGUAGCGGCGAGCGAACGGGGAGCAGCCCAGAGCCUGAAUCAGUGUGUGUGUUAGUGGAAGCGUCUGGAAAGGCGCGCGAUACAGGGUGACAGCCCCGUACACAAAAAUGCACAUGCUGUGAGCUCGAUGAGUAGGGCGGGACACGUGGUAUCCUGUCUGAAUAUGGGGGGACCAUCCUCCAAGGCUAAAUACUCCUGACUGACCGAUAGUGAACCAGUACCGUGAGGGAAAGGCGAAAAGAACCCCGGCGAGGGGAGUGAAAAAGAACCUGAAACCGUGUACGUACAAGCAGUGGGAGCACGCUUAGGCGUGUGACUGCGUACCUUUUGUAUAAUGGGUCAGCGACUUAUAUUCUGUAGCAAGGUUAACCGAAUAGGGGAGCCGAAGGGAAACCGAGUCUUAACUGGGCGUUAAGUUGCAGGGUAUAGACCCGAAACCCGGUGAUCUAGCCAUGGGCAGGUUGAAGGUUGGGUAACACUAACUGGAGGACCGAACCGACUAAUGUUGAAAAAUUAGCGGAUGACUUGUGGCUGGGGGUGAAAGGCCAAUCAAACCGGGAGAUAGCUGGUUCUCCCCGAAAGCUAUUUAGGUAGCGCCUCGUGAAUUCAUCUCCGGGGGUAGAGCACUGUUUCGGCAAGGGGGUCAUCCCGACUUACCAACCCGAUGCAAACUGCGAAUACCGGAGAAUGUUAUCACGGGAGACACACGGCGGGUGCUAACGUCCGUCGUGAAGAGGGAAACAACCCAGACCGCCAGCUAAGGUCCCAAAGUCAUGGUUAAGUGGGAAACGAUGUGGGAAGGCCCAGACAGCCAGGAUGUUGGCUUAGAAGCAGCCAUCAUUUAAAGAAAGCGUAAUAGCUCACUGGUCGAGUCGGCCUGCGCGGAAGAUGUAACGGGGCUAAACCAUGCAC